rnacentral:rRNA from 1 species
AUUGAACGCUGGCGGCAGGCUUAACACAUGCAAGUCGAGCGAGCGGCGGACGGGUGAGUAAUGUCUGGGAAUACGCCAGAGGGAGGGGGAUAACUACUGGAAACGGUAGCUAAUACCGCAUACCAUCAGAUGUGCCCAUAUUGGAUUCGUUAGUAUGUGGGGUAAUGGCUCACCGCGGCGACGACCCCUAGCUGGUCUGAGAGGAUGACCAGCCACACUGGAACUGAGACACGGUCCAGACUCCUACGGGAGGCAGCAGUGGGGAAUAUGGCACAAUGGGCGCAAGCCUGAUGCAGCCAUGCCGCGUGUGUGAAGAAGGCCUUCGGGUUGUAAAGCACUUUCAGCGAGGAGGCGUUACUCGCAGAAGAAGCACCGGCUAACUCCGGGCCAGCCGCCGCGGUAAUAC